rnacentral:precursor_RNA from 15 species
CAAGACCGGCAGGACGAGCGCCCUUCGGGGUGAGGUAGUAGGUUGUAUAGUUUGGGGCCUGCCCUGCUGUGGAUAACUAUACAAUCUACUGUCUUUCCUGAAGUGGCCGUGACCUCGGCGCUGGACC